GACAGAGGGUGCAAACGUUGUUCGGAAUUACUGGGCGUAAAGCGCGUGUAGGCGGCAGGGCAAGUCGGAUGUGAAAGCCCACGGCUCAACCGUGGAAGUGCACCCGAAACUGCCUCGCUAGAGUCUCGGAGAGGAAGGUGGAAUGCUUGGUGUAGAGGUGAAAUUCGUAGAUAUCGAGAGGAACAUCGGUGGCGAAGGCGGCCUUCUGGACGAUGACUGACGCUGAGACGCGAAAGCGUGGGGAGCAAACAGG
rnacentral:rRNA from 1 species